rnacentral:rRNA from 1 species
GACAGAGGGUGCAAACGUUGUUCGGAAUUACUGGGCGUAAAGGGCGGGUAGGCGGCCACCGCAAGUCAGUUGUGAAAUCUCCGGGCUUAACCCGGAAAGGUCAACUGAUACUGCGGGGCUAGAGUGCAGAAGGGGCAACUGGAAUUCUCGGUGUAGCGGUGAAAUGCGUAGAUAUCGAGAGGAACACCUGCGGCGAAGGCGGGUUGCUGGGCUGACACUGACGCUGAACUGCGAAAGCUAGGGGAGCGAACGGG